UACGAAGGGGGCUAGCGUUGUUCGGAAUUACUGGGCGUAAAGCGGGUGUAGGUGGCCUUGUAAGUCAGAAGUGAAAUCCCCGAGCUCAACUUGGGAAGUGCUUUUGAAACUGCAGGGCUUGAAUGUGGGAGAGGAUCGUGGAAUUCCAGGUGUAGUGGUGAAAUACGUAGAUAUCUGGAGGAACACCGGUGGCGAAGGCGGCGAUCUGGCCCAACAUUGACACUGAGACCCGAAAGCGUGGGGAUCAAAACAGGACU
rnacentral:rRNA from 1 species